UCGAUUCCGUAAGUAGCGGCGAGCGAACGCGGAAUAGCCCAAACCAAUAAAGUUUUCUUUAUUGGGGUUGCGGACAUAUCUUAAACGAAGAGGUAUCGUAAUUGAAGAGGUUUGGAAAGACCCACCACAGAAGGUAAUAGUCCUGUAUGUCAAACGAGAAAACUUCAGAUAUGAUCCAGAGUACCACGGGACACGUGAAACCCUGUGGGAAGCAGGAGGGACCACCCUCCAAGGCUAAAUACUACCUAGUGACCG
rnacentral:rRNA from 1 species